UGGCGGCGCUUAAACGCAGUGACGUCACAUGGUAUCCAUGAAUAACGCGAUUUACCCCAGAGCAUCUCGCAUUAUACUUCGCUACCUGAGACCAGCAAAACAACCAUGUGCUUGAUGUUUGUCUGUGUUAGGAAAGUUGUUGACUCACAAGUUUGUUAUAGUGACAAAUCUCCCGUCUUUGAAGAGGCACACGCAGGCCACGCUUUGAGAAGGUGAAGACGGAGGCUCCGGAGCUGAGGCCCAUCAAUCCAGUUGCACCCUGGCACAUGAUUGGUGAACGUCGUGUCAUCCAGUAUCAUGCUGCCUGAACUGGAAUGUAUCUUUACAUUUGGUUGCUAUUGUUACGGGCUAUGAUGGACAUCUUCCUGAAGCAUGGUGCCCCGGAGGUCAUCUUGACCGACAGAGGAAGGGAGUUCUGGAAUGAGGUGAACACGGACAUGUUCAGGAGGUGUGGGGUCAAGCACCUCAUGUCCUCCACCUACCACCCGCAAACUAAUGGUAUAUGGAAUAGCAUUAUCACACUGUUGGGUGCAAUUGUCAUUUGUGGUAAAGAAAAUCACUUCGACAAACAGGAUUGGAUGAGAGGACGAACCAAACUCUUAAAAUUUCGAUUGGGAAGACCCUUGAUGGACUUCAAGAGAGGUCACUGGAGGAGACUCUCCAGAGGAGGAUGUGGACAGUCCAGAUGA
rnacentral:lncRNA from 1 species